UCGGGAAUAUUGCGCAAUGGAGGAAACUCUGACGCAGUGACGCCGCGUAUAGGAAGUAAGUUUUUCGGAAUGUAAACUAUUGUCGUUAGGGAAGAGAAAGGACAGUACCUAAGGAGGAAGCUCCGGCUAACUACGUGCC
rnacentral:rRNA from 1 species